rnacentral:lncRNA from 7 species
UGAAAAGCCGUAGUGCUAACGCACGCCCUGUAGUUUUGAAGCAGGCUUCGACAGCUGCGAGCUCCGCGUCGAAAAGCGAAGCGAGCCGCGCUAGCGCGCUACUCUUCCUUUAUGAGAUGAGCGAGACUCUAUCCAAAUCUACUGAUCUAAGAACUCCGCGAGCGAACUGAGCGAGCCAUGAGGCGCCUAUCGGCAAGGCUUGGAAAAGCCUUAAGUUUAGGCUUAGGCUCCCUUCCUUCACUGAACUGAUUCAC